rnacentral:lncRNA from 1 species
CUGCUCAGCUUGCCUCCUGCUCCUUAGACUAACUUCUGUGCGCGCUACUGGCUGGUGAAGCUUGGAGGGGGCGUGAGCUGCAAGUCUCCGUGCCUGUGGUCAGUAAUGAAGACUUCUCUUUUUAUACACAGAUUACUGAGGAACUGCACAGGGCUAGACUGUAGCUCUUAAUUCCCCGACUUUUUUUCAUUUUAAACCUUCUCCGAGGAGAAUGCAGCCUCUCCACCAGCGGCUUUAUGAUGAGAUCACACGAUGCCCCCCGCAUUCAAUCAAGGAUGUGGCCCCCUCGGUGGCCUUGAGUUAGAAACGUUUGUAAAUGCUGCUUUUAGGCUCAGAAGAAAGGAGGAGGAAUGUCUUUGAGCUCUCAGGCAUCCCCCCUUCAGGGUUGUGGGUGUCCAGCUCAUAAUGCCCCUUGAUGCCAUGGACACCGCUGAGAUGAACCUGAAGUCAAGUCUGGGGCGAUCGUUGCAGCCGGCCUUGCACCCCGUUGCAGCUGGGUGUGUUUGGGCAGGACAUACAGGGCAAGGGCAGAGGCAACAUCCAUGCAAACCCAGGGGAUCCCGCAUUGUCCUGUCCUGUCCAAGUCUCUUGGCUCACUGGCAGCAGCUCGAGAGGCUCAAAAGGAAGAGAUUUUAUUUUUCCCGUCCCUCGCUGGACUUCCUAGGACGCAGCCUUUGA